rnacentral:misc_RNA from 1 species
UAAAGUGCGAUAUGUAAUGCGAUUUGCAUGAAUCUGUGAGUCAUCUAAUCUUUGAACGCAACUUGCGCCUUUUCGGAGGCAUGUUUGUUUGAGUGCCAUAUUACUCUCUGCAUAAGUGUGAAUGAAAAAAGCAUGAAUGCGAGUUUGACCAUUAUGUCCUAGUUUUUAACUGGGACUUGGUUUAAAGGUAGCCAGAUUAUAGCCAGUCCGGCUAGCCCGAGUGCUAAGCAUUCUUGGAACUAGUUGUUGAUUGGACUAUUAAAUUAUUAAUUCUAUAAUCAGGCCUCAAAUCAAGCAAGAUUACCCGCUGAACUUAA